UGGGGAAUCUUCGGCAAUGGGCGAAAGCCUGACCGAGCCAUGCCGCGUGAGUGACGAAGGCCUUAGGGUCGUAAAGCUCUUUCGCCAGGGAUGAUAAUGACAGUACCUGGUAAAGAAACCCCGGCUAACUCCGUGCCAGCAGCCGCGGUAAUACGGAGGGGGUUAGCGUUGUUCGGAAUUACUGGGCGUAAAGCGCGCGUAGGCGGAUUAGAAAGUUAGAGGUGAAAUCCCGGGGCUCAACCCCGGAACUGCCUUUAAAACUCCUAGUCUUGAGUUCGAGAGAGGUGAGUGGAAUUCCGAGUGUAGAGGUGAAAUUCGUAGAUAUUCGGAGGAACACCAGUGGCGAAGGCGGCUCACUGGCUCGAUACUGACGCUGAGGUGCGAAAGUGUGGGGAGCAAACAGGAUUAGAUACCCCCGUAGUCC
rnacentral:rRNA from 1 species